UAACUAAAGUUUUUGUCAAUGCAGCCAAGUCUAUACACUAGCCGCAGAGCUAUCAAAGCUAAGGCAUACAUGUGGGGCCUCUAGGUUCUGUUUGAGUAAAUAAUUAGCGAAAAUUUUGAGAAGUGAAGAGCCAAACAGUUGAGCUUCUGCCUGUCCGCAUUUGUCAUUUUGUAUGGUAUAAGAAAUUCAAGCUAAUAAAUCAAAUUCUUUAUAAGCCACAGAAGACUGGACAAAAGUCUAAAACGGGAAGAUCAUAAAACAGAAUCUCUUUAUGGUAAUGCUGCCAUGUUUGGUUGAGGGACAAACCGCUUGAGUAAAGUGCAAUGCCCUAACUGGCUGGCAGGGCAUAGAAAGUUGGUCAUGCAGUUCGCUGCAAAUUAAUUAGACUCAAUUUGUGGCAGCUGCCACAACUUGGGUCGCAACGGGCGAACAGAAUCUAUGCUCAUAUUGUGCUCAGCUGCUUUUUUUUCUCGUCUUCUGUGAGCAGCAGCGAUUCUCAUGUAAAUGCCAAAAGUUGCAGCAUUGUUUAAACAUUUACAAAAAAAAGUAGUAAGAAGAGGAAGACAAAGGGAGAUGGGGAGAGAGAGAGUGAGUAAAAACGCUCGAACCGAUAAGGCAGUCGUUAAGUUAUGUGGCAAGUGUUGAGCAGAAGACGGAGAAGGAGGAGGAGACGGCGAGGGAGUGCAUUUGUUAUACACUUUCCCAGCAUUUGAUUUUGGCAUAAUUUCUCACUCGCUGGCAACGUAAUCGGCUGCCGUUGCACUUGUUCGAUUAUAGCCGCAAAUCAAAUGGCAAACAACUUCUAUACAGAUGUCAAUUAUUUUGGCCAGCAAUGAACCAAAUUGCAGCUCCACUUGGAGCUGAAUUGGAGCUGUGUGUAGCUGGAGUCAGCUCGCUUGUUAGCCAUGUUGCAUGCCACAUGGACAUCAGACAACUACGUGAGGUGGCUCUUUGCGAAGUCAGUCCAGUCAGAGCCAAGACAGAGCCAAGUCAGCCAAGUCAUCCAGUCAUUCCAAGUCAUCUAGUCAUCUAGUCAUCCAAUUCGAGAAAAUUGCUAAGGAUCGAACAGCUUGCAACUUGCAGAUUGCUGCUUGCUGCCUGCAACGUGGGGCAGCUGCAACAUGGAGCUGCUUAUAAUUGAAUGAUUGCAUGGCUAGGCAAAAUGAUUUGCUCGUCAUUAACUCUCAACUGCAUUGGCGUUUAUCUUGGGACCCCAUUCGAUUCAAUUGAUUUGCUGCCAAUAGGUGUCAAAACUAUUUGGCUCUCAUUUUGUAAUCCCCACAAUUCCAACAAAAAAAUGCUGGCACUAUAUAUGUACAUAUAGACAUACCGGAGUGACUUAUUACAGACGCAGUCCAGAGCCUAAACAACUGAUGAAUGUUACGACCAACAGCUAAGACAGCUGACUAGAUGCGCUGAUAGACGCACAGAAAUACCCUGUAAAUUAGAUACUGCUAUUCAGUGAAUGUUUCUAUAUAAAGACAUGCGUAUAUGUAUGUAUAUGUAGAAUA